rnacentral:tRNA from 1 species
GGGGCUGUAGCUCAGUUGGUAGAGCGCUUCGUUCGCAUCGAAGAGGUCGAGGUUUCGAUUACCUUCAGCUCCA